rnacentral:rRNA from 1 species
UACGUAGGGGGCAAGCGUUGUCCGGAUUUAUUGGGCGUAAAGAGCGUGUAGGCGGUCAGGUAGGUCGGUUGUGAAAACUGGAGGCUCAACCUUCAGAGGUCGACCGAAACCCCCUGGCUAGAGUCCGGGAGAGGAGAGUGGAAUUCCUGGUGUAGCGGUGAAAUGCGCAGAUAUCAGGAAGAACACCCGUGGCGAAAGCGGCUCUCUGGAACGGUACUGACGCUGAGACGCGAAAGCGUGGGGAGCGAGCAGG